rnacentral:sRNA from 1 species
GGCACAUCAACGCAUUAAAUUUUCAUCUAUUGAUAAUGAAGAAAUCACUUAUAUUCUUGAUUAUGAUGAUACACAGCAUAUCCUCAUGCAAACGUCA